rnacentral:rRNA from 1 species
CCUACGGGAGGCAGCAGUGGGGAAUAUUGCACAAUGGGGGAAACCCUGAUGCAGCCACGCCGCGUGAGUGAAGAAGUCUUUCGGUAUGUUAAGCCCUAUUAGCCGGGAAGCAAAUGACCGUACCUGUCCAAGACGCCCCGGUUACCUGCGUGCCAGCAGCCGCGGUCUUAGUGAGGGGCCAAGCGGUAACCGGGUUUACGCGGUGUAAAGGGAGCGUUGAUGGCUCAACAAGUCAGGAGGGAAAUGCCCGGGCUUAAACCCGGAACUGCAGUGGAAACUGUGCAGCUUGAGUGCAGGAGAGGUAGGUGGAAUUCGUGGUGUAGCGGUGAAAUGCGUAGAUAUUAGGAAGAACACCGGUUGCGAAGGCGGCUUACUGGA